AACGCACAUUGCGCCUAUUGGUAUUCCAUUAGGCAUGUCUGUUUGAGCGUCAUUACAACCCCUCAGCGCAAGCUGGUUUUGAGCCGGUCAACCGUAAAAAAGCUGACCGGUUUUAAAGUUGUAAGCUCUGCUGGCUGCUACGCCCCAACCAAAAACAUAGUAAACUUUUGCUUGUUUGCAGGUGAGGCUUGCAGGUUAACCGGCCUGAACAAAACCUACAAAUUUCUAAGGUUUGACCUCAGAUCAGACAAGGAUACCCGCUGAACUUAA
rnacentral:misc_RNA from 1 species